GCGGCGAGCGAAGCGGGAAGAGCUCAAAUUUAUAAUCUGGCACCUUCGGUGUCCGAGUUGUAAUCUCUAGAAAUGUUUUCCGCGUUGGACCGCACACAAGUCUGUUGGAAUACAGCGGCAUAGUGGUGAGACCCCCGUAUAUGGUGCGGACGCCCAGCGCUUUGUGAUACAUUUUCGAAGAGUCGAGUUGUUUGGGAAUGCAGCUCAAAUUGGGUGGUAAAUUCCAUCUAAAGCUAAAUAUUGGCGAGAGACCGAUAGCGAACAAGUACCGUGAGGGAAAGAUGAAAAGCACUUUGGAAAGAGAGUUAACAGUACGUGAAAUUGUUGGAAGGGAAACGCUUGAAGUCAGACUUGCUUGCCGAGCAAUCGGUUUGCAGGCCAGCAUCAGUUUUCCGGGAUGGAUAAUGGUAGAGAGAAGGUAGCAGUUUCGGCUGUGUUAUAGCUCUCUGCUGGAUACAUCUUGGGGGACUGAGGAACGCAGUGUGCCUUUGGCGGGGGUUUCGACCUCUUCACACUUAGGAUGCUGGUGGAAUGGCUUUAAACGACCCGUCUUGAACCACGGA
rnacentral:rRNA from 1 species